rnacentral:rRNA from 1 species
AACGACUCUCGACAACGGAUAUYUCGGCUCUSGCAUCGAUGAARAASGUAGCGAAAUGCGAUACUUGGUGUGAAUUGCARAAUCCCGUGAACCAUCGAGUCUUUGAACGCAAGUUGCGCCCGAAGCCAUUAGGUUGAGGGCACGUCUGCCUGGGUGUCACGC